AUUGAACGCUGGCGGCAGGCCUAACACAUGCAAGUCGAGCGGCAGCGGGAAAGUAGCUUGCUACUUUUGCCGGCGAGCGGCGGACGGGUGAGUAAUGCCUGGGAAAUUGCCCAGUCGAGGGGGAUAGCUACUGGAAACGGUAGCUAAUACCGCAUACGCCCUACGGGGGAAAGCAGGGGACCUUCGGGCCUUGCGCGAUUGGAUGAACCCAGGUGGGAUUAGCUAGUUGGUGAGGUAAUGGCUCACCAAGGCGACGAUCCCUAGCUGGUCUGAUAGGAUGAUCAGCCACACUGGAACUGAGACACGGUCCAGACUCCUACGGGAGGCAGCAGUGGGGAAUAUUGCACAAUGGGGGAAACCCUGAUGCAGCCAUGCCGCGUGUGUGAAGAAGGCCUUCGGGUUGUAAAGCACUUUCAGCGAGGAGGAAAGGUCAGUAGCUAAUAUCUGCUGGCUGUGACGUUACUCGCAGAAGAAGCACCGGCUAACUCCGUGCCAGCCGCCGCCGUAAGAC
rnacentral:rRNA from 1 species